CGAGAAUGGAAAAAGAGAUAUUUCUAAAAAAAAAAAGGUUGGCAAUUUGAAUUUGCGGGAAUACAUUUCGCCAAUUCUAAAACAACGUCGAAAGACGUUCGGUCGGUUUGGGCGAUAUUCUUACAUAUUACGGACAACACAGUUUUCGUUAUUUGCUGUUUUUUUGUUUUCAACUACAAUAAAUGCACAUUAAUUUACACAUGAUAGUAAUUGGUUUUCAGUCAGUUUCACAGACACGUACUAUAAAUGCGGUGGUUGGAAAACAAUGCAUUGUACAAAUGUACUCACAAAUGCUUCUCUAUUCAGGUUAUUUAUAGUGGUUACAUGUCUGUGUUGAACAGAAAUUCUUUUUAAAAUAGUGAAUACAUUUUUUUAUAUUAUUUCAUAGUUCAGUCAAAGUAUAUCUGAAAGACAAGACCGAACUUUGUAUACGAUAUCAUGAAUUUUAAUUUCGGUUAA
rnacentral:lncRNA from 1 species